AUUAAUAAUGAAGCGUCAUUAGUCCGAAUGCAAACCGUGCCGUGACCUCACACUGUACACCGCUUGAUUAGUUAAACUUAGCAACAGAUUAAUUUACAAAUAAACCCGCUUGAUAACAUAAUCCUUAAUAAAGUGAAAAAAAGACGCUCCGGCUAAUGUUAGUUCGAUUAAGUUGUGUUUUCACUGACCAGCGUCGGUAUUCUGCGAUUUAAUCACUAAAACAGCAACUCUUUUGCAAAUAACUCGAAAACGAUGCCGGAUGCAAAACAAAUACUAGAGACUGAAAAGUGUCGCAACUGGACAAACAACUUUAGCAAAACUUGUUGGAACUCAGUGGCGCUCCACAAAAAAGUUCCAGGUGGUAAAAGGGACUAAAAAAUUACCACCCUAGUGCAGACAGCCAUGGAUCCAAAAAACAUAUACAGGGUGUAAACAAAAACCCAAAAUCAACCACAUUUUCUACCCAUCCUGUAUAUACCUACUCCUAGACUGGCGUAAAACUAUUCAGGGUGAGUCUUGGAUUGUAUAUGAAAUAUAAAUUCGGUUCAUUAAACAUUGCAAAGCCUA